rnacentral:rRNA from 1 species
GACGAACGCUGGCGGCGUGCUUAACACAUGCAAGUCGAACGCUGAAGCUCAGCUUUUGUUGGGUGGAUGAGUGGCGAACGGGUGAGUAACACGUGAGUAACCUGCCCCCUUCUCUGGGAUAACGCCCGGAAACGGGUGCUAAUACUGGAUAUUCACUGGUCUUCGCAUGGGGGUUGGUGGAAAGGGUUUUUCUGGUGGGGGAUGGGCUCGCGGCCUAUCAGCUUGUUGGUGGGGUGAUGGCCUACCAAGGCUUUGACGGGUAGCCGGCCUGAGAGGGUGACCGGUCACAUUGGGACUGAGAUACGGCCGAGACCCCGACGGGAGGCAGCAGUGGGGAAUAUGGCACAAUGGGCGCAAGCCUGAUGCAGCGACGCCGCGUGAGGGAUGGAGGCGUGCGGGUUGUGAACCUCUUUCGCUCAUGGUCAAGCCGCAACAAUGGUUGUGGUGAGGGUAGUGGGUAAAGAAGCGCCGGCUAACUACGUG